GCCAACGUAGCACAAUGGUAGUGCGUUGCUUUCCUAAAUUUCUGUAGGCAGAGGCUGUGGGUUCGAGUCCCACCGUUGGUU